rnacentral:rRNA from 1 species
AUUGAACGCUGGCGGCAGGCCUAACACAUGCAAGUCGAACGGUAACAGAAAGCAGCUUGCUGCUUUGCUGACGAGUGGCGGACGGGUGAGUAAUGUCUGGGAAACUGCCCGAUGGAGGGGGAUAACUACUGGAAACGGUAGCUAAUACCGCAUAACGUCGCAAGACCAAAGAGGGGGACCUUCGGGCCUCUUGCCAUCGGAUGUGCCCAGAUGGGAUUAGCUAGUAGGUGGGGUAAAGGCUCACCUAGGCGACGAUCCCUAGCUGGUCUGAGAGGAUGACCAGCCACACUGGAACUGAGACACGGUCCAGACUCCUACGGGAGGCAGCAGUGGGGAAUAUUGCACAAUGGGCGCAAGCCUGAUGCAGCCAUGCCGCGUGUAUGAAGAAGGCCUUCGGGUUGUAAAGUACCUUCAGCGGGGAGAAAGGGAGUAAAGUUAAUACCUUUGCUCAUUGACGUUACCCGCAGAAGAAGCACCGGCUAACUCCGUG